rnacentral:piRNA from 1 species
GGCAAGAGGAAUGCUGAGAAGGAUGAGAUGU